GCAAUGAUAAUCAAAUUUCACUCACUUUUGCUUUCUCUUCUGUCAGUCACUUACAUGGGUCUCUGUCAGUGAGGAAAUACACUUUUAGAUGCUUAAGAAUGGACUCCCCAAUCUCUUGCUGGGUGCCGGGCUAUUCAGAGAAAUUGUAAAGAGCAAGACGAAUUCAGUGUAGCCUCCCAAAGGACUGCUCAAAGAUCUCCAGGUAAAGAAAAAUCUGUUCUGGAAACAGGGGGAAAAAGGAAAAUGGAAUAAAAUAAUAAUCUGCUGCA
rnacentral:lncRNA from 1 species